UGGGGAAUAUUGGACAAUGGGGGCAACCCUGAUCCAGCCAUGCCGCGUGAGUGAUGAAGGCCUUCGGGUUGUAAAGCUCUUUUGGCGGGGACGAUGAUGACGGUACCCGCAGAAUAAGCCCCGGCUAACUUCGUGCCAGCAGCCGCGGUAAGACGAAGGGGGCUAGCGUUGUUCGGAAUUACUGGGCGUAAAGCGCGUGUAGGCGGUUGCCCAAGUCGGAUGUGAAAGCCUUGAGCUCAACUCAAGAAAUGCAUUCGGUACUGGGUGACUAGAGGACCGGAGAGGAUAGUGGAAUUCCCAGUGUAGUGGUGAAAUACGUAGAGAUUGGGAAGAACACCAGUGGCGAAGGCGGCUAUCUGGACGGUUUCUGACGCUAAGACGCGAAAGCGUGGGGAGCAAACAGGAUUAGAUACCCUGGUAGUCCACGCCGUAAACGAUGGGUGCUAGACGUUGGCGAGCUUGCUCGUCAGCGUCGCAGCUAACGCGUUAAGCACCCCGCCUGGNGNGUACGGCCGCAAGGUUG
rnacentral:rRNA from 1 species